rnacentral:lncRNA from 1 species
UCUAGGUAUUGAAUUGAAUAUUUUUUUACCUACACCUCCCAAGAAAACAAGAUCUAUGUCAUUUGCUUAAGGUAACACUUAGCAAAGUAAGACUCAACUUUUGUCCCAAGCAAUCUGUCUCCAGAGAGCCUAUGGCAGGAAUCACUUUCUAGAAGGUGUGAAGUCCAAGGUCAAGGCACUAGAAGAUUUGCUCUCCUGUUCCAAGAUGGUGCCUUGUUACUAUAGCCACCAGAGAGGAGGAAUGGCUGAAUCCUCACUUGGCCAAAAAGCAGAAGAGAGGGAAUCCACUCCUGCCAGCCCUUUUCAUGAACCUGUUGCUGGAUAGCUAUCUUGGACCAGAAGGA